UACAGAGGGGGCAAGCGUUGUUCGGAAUUACUGGGCGUAAAGGGCGCGUAGGCGGCCUCCUAAGUCAGACGUGAAAUCCCUCGGCUCAACCGGGGAACUGCGUCUGAUACUGGGAGGCUUGAAUCCGGGAGAGGGAUGUGGAAUUCCAGGUGUAGCGGUGAAAUGCGUAGAUAUCUGGAGGAACACCGGUGGCGAAGGCGGCAUCCCGGACCGGUAUUGACGCUGAUGCGCGAAAGCCAGGGGAGCAAGCGGG
rnacentral:rRNA from 1 species